rnacentral:rRNA from 1 species
CAGUAGCCGCGGGAAUACGUAGGUGGCAAGCGUUGUCCGGAAUUAUUGGGCGUAAAGGGCUCGCAGGCGGUUUCUUAAGUCUGAUGUGAAAGCCCCCGGCUCAACCGGGGAGGGUCAUUGGAAACUGGGAAACUUGAGUGCAGAAGAGGAGAGUGGAAUUCCGCGUGUAGCGGUGAAAUGCGUAGAGAUGUGGAGGAACACCAGUGGCGAAGGCGACUCCCUGGUCUGUAACUGACGCUGAGGAGCGAAAGCGUGGGGAGCGAACAGGAUUAGAUACCCGCGUAGUCCCUGUCUCUUAUAC